rnacentral:lncRNA from 1 species
AUUUUUGACUGAUUUGAAUGAGCAAAUUAACAGAUUUUCUUUUCUGCCAUUGUAUAGACACAGCUCAAUUCAAGGGACAGAUGCUCAAAGCUAACUGCAUAUCUAUUCUGACCCAGUCUUACACACUUUGCAUUUUUCACUUCUGCUUUCCGGGGUCCAGAUGAUUGAAUAUCUGUCUUCUCUCAUUGAGCACCCACUCAGGAAACAGCUCCAUGAGUGUGGUGCCUCAGCAACAAGAUGGAAAUAAUGACAACUCCUACUGAUUUUCUGCCAGGGCAAAUAGCUGAAGUUUCUGCUCCUGUGGAGACUCAUGAGAUGCCUAUUAGUCAGUCUGGAGCCUACAGGUGCCUGAGUUGCUGCAGGAGGAGAAACGGAAUGUCUUUCGGCUUUGCUUUUGUGUGGAUCUGUUGCAUGUUUACCAAGCUCUUUUUCUCAGCAAGGCAUAGAGGAGCAAGCUGAGACCUACAGAUUGCCAGCAGACUCUUCCAACAAAAUUGCCCUGUCUCAAUCAGUUAAACUGGGUGGGAAGGGAGAGCCUCUGCCAGUUUUCUCCCAUCUCUUCCACCAUGUGGAGAGACACCCGAAGCAUUCCACAGGGCUUUAUAAUCAAGAUGAAAUACUCCAGAUUUCUAAGUCUCAAUAAUACCCAAACCCCAGACCAUAUGUAUGGAUAAUUCACGUACUUUCUAACCUUUGCGUUUUGCAUAUAACCUCCCUGUCAAACAUUGGUUUUCCAGAGCUUCAUACAGAAUAAAAAGUUAAGAAGAAAACA